ACUCAAAUGAAUUGACGGGGACCCGCACAAGCAGUGGAGUAUGUGGUUUAAUUCGAAGCAACGCGAAGAACCUUACCAGGUCUUGACAUCCCUUUGACCGUCUCAGAGAUGAGGCUUUCCUUCGGGACAAAGGAGACAGGUGGUGCAUGGUUGUCGUCAGCUCGUGUCGUGAGAUGUUGGGUUAAGUCCCGCAACGAGCGCAACCCUUAGGUCUAGUUGCCAGCACAUCAGGUGGGCACUCUAGAGCGACUGCCGGUGACAAACCGGAGGAAGGUGGGGAUGACGUCAAAUCAUCAUGCCCCUUAUGACCUGGGCUACACACGUACUACAAUGGCCGGUACAACGGGAAGCGAAGUGGCGACACGGAGCGAAUCUUCAGAAGCCGGUCUCAGUUCGGAUUGCAGGCUGCAACUCGCCUGCAUGAAGUCGGAAUUGCUAGUAAUCGCGGAUCAGCAUGCCGCGGUGAAUACGUUCCCGGGUCUUGUACACACCGCCCGU
rnacentral:rRNA from 1 species